rnacentral:rRNA from 1 species
AAUGAACGUUGGCGGCGUGGAUUAGGCAUGCAAGUCGAGCGAGAACCCCGCAAGGGGGGACAGCGGCGAAAGGGACAGUAAUGUGUAGAUCAUCUGCCCUCAGGUCCGGGAUAGCUGCGGGAAACUGCAGGUAAUACCGGAUAACAUCUCCGGAUCAAAGGUGUGAUUCCGCCUGAGGAUGAGUCUACAUCCUAUUAGCUAGUUGGUAGGGUAAUGGCCACCAAGGCUUUGAUGGGUAGCGGGUGUGAGAGCACGACCCGCGCCAUUGGGACUGAGACACUGCCCAGACACCUACGGGUGGCUGCAGUGGGGAAUCUUGCGCAAUGGGCGAAAGCCUGACGCAGCGACGCCGCGUGA